GACGAACGCUGGCGGCGUGCCUAAUACAUGCAAGUUGAGCGAUGAAGAUUGGUGCUUGCACCAAUUUGAAGAGCAGCGAACGGGUGAGUAACGCGUGGGGAAUCUGCCUUUGAGCGGGGGACAACAUUUGGAAACGAAUGCUAAUACCGCAUAACAACUUUAAACAUAAGUUUUAAGUUUGAAAGAUGCAAUUGCAUCACUCAAAGAUGAUCCCGCGUUGUAUUAGCUAGUUGGUGAGGUAAAGGCUCACCAAGGCGAUGAUACAUAGCCGACCUGAGUGGGUGAUCGGCCACAUUGGGACUGAGACACGGCCCAAACUCCUACGGGAGGCAGCAGUAGGGAAUCUUCGGCAAUGGACGAAAGUCUGACCGAGCAACGCCGCGUGAGUGAAGAAGGUUUUCGGAUCGUAAAACUCUGUUGGUAGAGAAGAACGUUGGUGAGAGUGGAAAGCUCAUCAAGUGACGGUAACUACCCAGAAAGGGACGGCUAACUACGUG
rnacentral:rRNA from 1 species